AUGGCCUCUCUGAGCCUCGGGUGUUUUCAUCUGCCAGACGGGGCUGGCGAGGAGACCGCCCGCCUCAAGCUUGUUGCAAGAACCGGGUUCUGGUCUAGGACUUAGGACAGAGCAAACUCUGGAUCCAGACAGAAAUAUACAAGCCUGAGGAAAAAUGAUAUUGCAUGCACAGUAUUCUCCUGGUCUGCACUGCUGAAAAUCGCCACCAUCAUCUCCCACAAGUCAUUUGUUCCUGAAACUUU